GGGGAAUUAGCUCAAGUGGUAGAGCGCUCGCUUAGCAUGUGAGAGGCAGCGGGAUCGAUACCGGCAUUCUCCA
rnacentral:tRNA from 1 species